rnacentral:rRNA from 1 species
UUUGACGCAAAGUCGUGCACGCCGGAGCGUGUCCUCUCACAUAAAAUCCAUCUCACCCUUUUGUGCACCACCGCGUGGGCACCCCUUCGGGAUCAAACUGAUCCAGGAGGGGGCUUGCGUUUUCACACAAACCCCUUUUUAAAAAGUGUAGAAUGACCUCAUUUUUGCGAUAACACGCAAUCAAUACAACUUUCAACAACGGAUCUCUUGGCUCUCGCAUCGAUGAAGAACGCAGCGAAAUGCGAUACGUAAUGUGAAUUGCAGAAUUCAGUGAAUCAUCGAAUCUUUGAACGCACCUUGCGCCCCUUGGUAUUCCGAGGGGCACACCCGUUUGAGUGUCGUGAAAAUCUCAACCUUCUCGGUUUCUUCUGGAUGCCGAAGGAGGCUUGGACUUUGGAGGCCUUUGCUGGCGUCUCUCGCCAGCUCCUCUCAAAUGAAUUAGCGGGGUCCUCUUUGCCGAUCCUCGACAUGUGAUAAGAUGUUUCCAUGUCUUGGUUUCUGGCUCUGUUGCCUUUGGGACCCGCUUCUAACCGUCUCAACGACGAUGUUUGUGAGCGCGUCUCCCUUCUCGGGAAACUCUCUCUCAAACCCCACGAACCCUUGACCUCAAA